GACGAACGCUGGCGGCGUGCUUAACACAUGCAAGUCGAACGGACAGGCCCUGCUUUUGUUUGUUUCUCGUUUGGCGAACGCGUGAGUGACACGUGAGUAACCCGCCCUUGACUUUGUGAUAACUUUUGGGAACUGCGGCGAUUACCGGGUAUGAGCUUCUGCAGCAUGUUGGUGGUUGGAAAGUUUCGGCGUUAGUGGAUCGACUCGCGGCUUAUCAGCUUGAUGGUCUGGUAGGUGCUUACCAAGGUUUUGACGGGUAGCCGGCAUGAGAGGGUUACCGGCGACAUUGGGACUGAGGUAGGGCGCAGACUGGAACGGGAGGCAGCAGGGGGGAAUAUUGCACAAUGGGCGGAAGCGUGAGGCAGCAACGCCGCGUGCGGGAUGACGGCCUUCGGGUGGUAAACAGAUUUGGAAUGUGAUGAAGCGUGAGUGACGGUAAUGGGUAAAGAAGCAACGGCUAACUACGUG
rnacentral:rRNA from 1 species